UCGGGCGUGGUGCACGGUGCACGGCCUGUCUUGGUCCCGCAUUGUCGAUAAUGUCUUGAGGCAGAUCGGGGUUCGAGUCCCCGCGUCCGAA